CCCUGACUCUUCAAAGCCCAAUAAAAUACGAAUAUAAAGGGAUUAUCCUUGAACAGGAAGAACUUAUAGACUGCGGUAUCAAUUAAAUUGAGAGAAGUGCAGUGAAUACUGAACUGGAGGCUGACCAACCUUUAAUUGCUGCUUUUCAGGUCGGGGUGGAAGAAGCUGUUGGAAUAACUGCGUUCCAGAUUGAGAUGGUCGGGAUGCGUGAGUCAGAACUGCUGAGCCUGUGGAGAGAGUUGCAGGGGCCAGAGAAGAAACUGAUAUCUCGAUUGCAGGAGGCUGAAGAGGCUGCAGGAGCAGUGCAGGCCACGUGUUUCCGUUUGGAGAAGAUCAAACAGCAGCUACCGAUCGCAGAAAUGAGGAAGAAUAAGGAUUCUAUGUGCUGGAUGUGUGUUAGACCUGUGGUGAGAGGUUAAUUGGAAGAAAAAAACCUAACUGGAAGCCAACCACGCCUGAAGACGAGGGAACAGCAACAAGUGAACCAGCCCGAGGACUGAAAGCAUAAACUGGAGAGAACAACUCUGAAUCAACUGACUCGGAGUUCUCAUUGAUUCAGCUGUGCAGUCCAACCAUUCACCUCAGAAGGAUUUUUUUAUAUGGCGUUAAAAUUGUGGAACGUUAAGUUAAUAAUACGUAAAAGAAAAUCCCAGAUGCACGUCAAGAAAG